GUGACACUAGGUUCAUCAAGGGUAGAAAAAGAGGCCUCGCAUUGGCCACAAAAAGGAGAGUCAAGCUCAGGGAAUCCAACUUCAAGCUGGGGGCAGCCUGACAUACCAAACCUGGCAACAUCUGUGAUAUAGUUCAAGCCAUUGAAGGUAGCAGACAUGGAAAUCGAGACUGAUGGCUUCCGCAUCUCCUCCAACUUCGACUCCGGCAACCUGCAGCGGGUGGAGAAGGUCGAGCCGGGCUCCAACCACUUUGAUGGCCAAGACGCGGACGACCUGUGCGCCUACGAGUUCAACUGCUG